GUAAGAGUGUGCGUAAAUCAGGCAUUGUUCAAUUCGCGCGCAUACAAACUUUUCACAGAGAACCGACAAGGUGAGUCUUUGGGUCAUGGAUCGGUAAGCUACAUGUCAGGAGACCAAACGGCACCCUGAUUGACAGGAAAGAGAUACUUUAAUGCCGUGGAGACCAUCGAUGGAGCCAAGAGAGGACCUGGGUGAGGGGGAAUUGGAUUUUGCAGUUGCCGGGCCCUCAUGCUUUUUGAAGCCAAGAAAAGCAACCCAGCUGAACAAAUCAGGAACAUGUCCCCUGAGCUGCAGGGUUCCCGGAGACAACCUUUACGCCGCUGAAGUCAGAGGUCGUCCGUUCCAGAGGGAAACAGUGGCGACACCCCAGAGGCGUUCAGUAGACUAAUAGGACUGACUACAUCAUUAAGAAGGCAAGUUUACCAGAGAUGACUUAAGUUCAGCCAAGCCUAAAGGGGAACAAGUUUUUCUAAGAUGAUUGACAGCAACUCCGUUGAUGUGUAGGAGGAAAUGAAUGAGGCUCUUGUGAAGAAAAGGUUAGUAAUGAAAUGGAUGGAUGCAUGUGCUGAUAUAUGAUCUGAUGAAUCCUGUAACUUUGCCAUAUCUGUUUUCUGACACAACCUCUGCUGGAAAGGGUUAAGGAGCCUUUGUUUUCUCUGAGAUUGAUUUGUCUGAUUAAUGGACAGCUGCUGCUUGUGUUUGUAAGGCAUGCAUUUGGCUACACAUACUGUAGUUUUUAAAGAUGCUUCUGCAUUUAGCAGGCUUGCACAAGGCUUUGGAAAAUGAUACACACAAAAAGGCCUGUUGUCCUUCGAACCUUGGAGAAUGCAAGUGAAAAAUGAAUUGAACUCAGUUUGCUUUGUGCUGUUUUAUUCUUGGAGCAGGAAUGAUUGGGUGUGUGGGGAACUGUGCCAAGACUACACAAACACAGAUUCAUAUCCUACAUGUCUCUCUAUGGCUUUAUGCUCGUGGAAGAGAACAAAAUGAGGAUCAAAUGUGUAAAAACAAAAAAUAAGUAGGCGUAAAGGAAUAGAGCAAAGUUUUUGUACUGCUGUACGAUGAAGGAAACUGCAAUGAUACACUUUAAAAAAAACUUUAAACAGUAUUUGACAGUAUUUAAACAAAACAUGUUUCCACUUGUAUUCUUUUUGCUUUUACAAACUGUGCUCU